rnacentral:rRNA from 1 species
AAAUUGAAGAGUUUGAUCAUGGCUCAGAUUGAACGCUGGCGGCAGGCCUAACACAUGCAAGUCGAACGGUAACAGGAAGCAGCUUGCUGCUUUGCUGACGAGUGGCGGACGGGUGAGUAAUGUCUGGGAAACUGCCUGAUGGAGGGGGAUAACUACUGGAAACGGUGGCUAAUACCGCAUAACGUCGCAAGACCAAAGAGGGGGCCCUUCGGGCCUCUUGCCAUCAGAUGUGCCCAGAUGGGAUUA